GAACAGAGAGCCAGAAAAGUUUAGCACUGAGAAUCUCCAUGCAACAGGUGGAAAGUUUACAAGUUCCAGAAAAGGAAUGGCAUAGUAUAUCUGGAUUUGGAAGGGGAUGCUCCACUGUUGUAAGAUUCAACCAGUUGUUUGAAUCCAGUUGAGACUUUCCAAAGUUCACCUGUGACUAACUGAAGCCCUAAUAAAGGCAAAACC
rnacentral:lncRNA from 1 species